CGGUUUCCUCCCAUACCCCCAAAACAUAUAGCAUUAAUUGGACACUCUAAAUUGCCCCUAGGUGUGAUUGUGAGUGUGACUGUUGUCUACAAUGAUGCAGAAUAAAAACUGGACCGCGUAAAGGCCCCUUUCAUGUGGUGCUGAAGCGGUGGUCUGAACCCAGGUGGAACGGUCCCUACAAGGUGGUGGAACGAACUUCAUCCACUGUUCGAUUGGAGGUAAAGGGGGACACGUGGUACCAUCUUUCAUCGACCCGCCCUACUUGUACCCCGACCGGAGAGCCUCUGGAUCUGCCCGACUCCACCCCCACAUCACCAGCCGUUCCUGCCCCAGUCCCUUGACUCCUGUCACCAUCUCACCUCCACACACACUUACCCCAACAUGCCACAUUUCUUUAAUAAAAUGUACCCCACACUUU